rnacentral:misc_RNA from 1 species
ACAUUUACCGCUCUUGAAAU